rnacentral:rRNA from 1 species
AUACAGAGGGUGCAAGCGUUAAUCGGAUUUACUGGGCGUAAAGCGCGCGUAGGUGGCUAAUUAAGUCAAAUGUGAAAUCCCCGAGCUUAACUUGGGAAUUGCAUUCGAUACUGGUUAGCUAGAGUAUGGGAGAGGAUGGUAGAAUUCCAGGUGUAGCGGUGAAAUGCGUAGAGAUCUGGAGGAAUACCGAUGGCGAAGGCAGCCAUCUGGCCUAAUACUGACACUGAGGUGCGAAAGCAUGGGGAGCAAACAGGUUUAGAUACCCUGGUAGUCCAUGCCGUAAACGAUGUCUACUAGCCGUUGGGGCCCUUGAGGCUUUAGUGGCGCAGCUAACGCGAUAAGUAGACCGCCUGGGGAGUACGGUCGCAAGACUAAAACUCAAAUGAAUUGACGGGG